CCUACGGGGGGCAGCAGUGAGGAUUAUUGGUCAAUGGACGAGAGUCUGAACCAGCCAAGUAGCGUGAAGGAUGACUGCCCUAUGGGUUGUAAACUUCUUUUAUAUGGGAAUAAAAUGUUCCACGUGUGGGAUUUUGUAUGUACCAUAUGAAUAAGGAUCGGCUAACUCCGUGCCAGCAGCCGCGGUAAUACGGAGGAUCCGAGCGUUAUCCGGAUUUAUUGGGUUUAAAGGGAGCGUAGGUGGAUUGUUAAGUCAGUUGUGAAAGUUUGCGGCUCAACCGUAAAAUUGCAGUUGAAACUGGCAGUCUUGAGUACAGUAGAGGUGGGCGGAAUUCGUGGUGUAGCGGUGAAAUGCUUAGAUAUCACGAAGAACUCCGAUUGCGAAGGCAGUUCACUGGACUGCAACUGACACUGAGGCUCGAAAGUGUGGGUAUCAAACAGGAUUAGAUACCCCAGUAGU
rnacentral:rRNA from 1 species